UGCUAGCARMSRMGGYRWWUCCAGCUCCAAUAGCGUAUAUUAAAGUUGUUGCAGUUAAAAAGCUCGUAGUUGAAUUUCGGGGUUAGUAGGUUGGUCAUGCCUCUGGUAUGUACUGGUCUCACUGAUUCCUCCUUCCUUAUGAACCGUAAUGCCAUUAAUUUGGUGUUGCGGGGAAUUUGGACUGUUACUUUGAAAAAAUUAGAGUGUUUAAAGCAAGCUAACGCUUGAAUACAUUAGCAUGGAAUAGUGAAAUAGGACGUUCGAUCUUAUUUUGUUGGUUUCUAGGAUUGACGUAAUGAUUAACAGGGACAGUUGGGGGCAUUAGUAUUCAAUUGUCAGUGGUGAAAUUCUUGGAUUUAUUGAAGACUAACUACUGCGAAAGCAUUUGCCAAGGAUGUUUUCAUUGAUCAAGAACGAAAGUUAGGGGAUCGAAGACGAUCAGAUACCGUCGUAGUCUUAACCAUAAACUAUGCCGACUAGGGAUCGGAUGAUGUUARUWKYYUAAUGACUCAUUCGGCGCCUACCGGGAAAACAAAAUAUG
rnacentral:rRNA from 1 species